AAUUAUAUAAAAUAUAAAGCUUAGUUACAUUUACAUAAUUGUUUAAAUGAAAGCCCUUUGGUAGUCGAAUAUGCAUCGUGCCCUAUUUUUGCAGUUAUAGCCUUUCAUUGCGCUUUAAUGGCUAGAUCGUAGGUUUAACCUAUAAUACUAUGCCACCAGUGAAGAAGGAAGGGGCAAGUUCAAAACCAAUUCUUCAUGGGACCGAAGUUCUCAAAGGGUUCCGGUACUUUGCAACAAUGUUUUACAGAUUUAUCUCCUUCGAUAAUUCACUACAAUCACCGUAAUGUCUUAUGAAAACAUAACAACUAUUGUAGUUUUAAUUCUAGAUUGAUUGGGUAGAAAAUGUUUUUGAAGUUUUAAUUUAUGUGGAAAGGUACACAAUGAUUCAAUGAUUUAUCGUAGAAAAUAUUAGUAAAACCUUUAAGUACCAGAAUAACACUUCACCUGACUGAAAGAACCGGCGUAAUUUAGAAAAAAUGUUUGUAUGUCUACAAACAAUAAACGGCUAGCUUGAUGCUUUUCUAGUUGGGGUAUCCCAAACGCUUACUCAUGCCAACGCUAUUUAUAGUUAUGUGCAUAUAAACUCGUACAUACAUAAAAAAUACAGUGUAAGCAAGUAUGUAUUCAAAUAUGUAAAAAUACGUCUAGUCGUACCCUCGCGUUUUAUUCAUUCAUACUGUCGUUCGAGUUGAGUAAAAUUUGCCGCCUUAAAUCAUCAGCAAGGGCAACAUGGCACGACCAACAACAACUGGUAAACAAAAUAAUCACAACAAAAAAUAUAAAAGAGUAUUUAUAAUACGAACAGAAAUCAAAAGGAAAACAAACAAUCCACAGAGUGUAUAAAUAUGCAACUACAUUUAUACACACAUAGAUUCAUAUGUAUGUAAAUGCAGAUAUAAAUAAAUAAAUACAAACAUACUUACAUAAUAGUAUGAAAAUGUGUUCUACGUGGGUACUAGUAAGGACGGAUAUAGUCGUUCGAAUACAAUUACCCAUAGACAUGUACUUACAAACAGGCGUACAUAUGGACAAACGCGUGCCUAGUUGGGCUGUUCAGCGGUCAACGUCACCUUACAUGCUGCUUUAUACCAUACAAAUUGACAUACAGACCAUAUGAUAUAAGACAAUCUUGCCAACAUACACACGAGCAAAUAUAGAGCGCUAAAUAUUUUGUGUUUUUGUUUUUGCAUAGUCCUCGUGUAUGCACAGCAUUUGCCACCGUAAAUAUGUAUAUAAAGGUACAUGUGUACAAAAGUGUGUCAAUAAACGUUUGUCGUUUUCAUGAAUGAAAUAAUAAAAAAACGGAAAACAUCAACCGGCGCGGCGGCAUCUUUUACCCAACCAAAAACAAUAACACAGCCUUCAUUAACAUCAAAAAGGCACACAACAAAAUGUGAUAUAAAAUCUUUAAGGUUCAAGUUAAGUUGAGAGUGUGCUAGUGGAGUAACCAGGCCAAGCCAUUUAAAGCCAGACAACAUUUCAACCGGCAUCAGUUCAAUUUCAGCCACGAUUUAAAGGGAUACAAAGAUGGUAAAAGUGUACCACCAUUGACAGGAGGCGGAGGUGGAGUGACUGCGCUUAUGGAGACUGGCUGGCAUACUUAUGCACGUACAUACACAUGUAUUCAUACAAACGUUAUUUAUAUAUACGAAGUAUUUUUGCUCCACUUUUUUUUGUUUGGGUGCCUGAUAUUGUUUUGCCUCCAAGCGCACUGCUAUCUAUAAAGUUAAACCGAUUUGGUUGCUUCAUAUUGUACAUAUGUAUGUACUAUAUAUGCCGGCUGUGGUUUUUGUUAUUGUUCGUCUCCGCAAUAUCUCUUUAUGUGCGUGGACGUUUUAUAGGAACUUUCUUUGCUCUGCAGCUGUUAGCUUUAUACUUCUUUAAUUGUUUACAAUGAUAGCUAUAGCACCGCUUGAUUUGAAAUAAGUGAAUGCUGAAUUGUGGGAACAUAAGAAAUGUGAUUUAGCUACAGUUGAUAGGGAUUUUUGUUUGUUUAAAGACAAUUAAUUUUAACUAUCCUUGCAAAAAAUAAAAUAAUUAAAUAAUUUCACACUUUUACGUAUUAAAUUUAUGUGCAUUUGCGAGAUUUUGAAGUCUCAAAACUUAUAUGACUAAAGGUUUCGUUUUGUAUAUUUGUUGUUGUUAUUGUUCCGACCGAUAACGUUACAUGUAGAUUAUUGGCUUUACCUCUGCUUAUGCACCACUCGUAGUAACACAACUUCUGUUAAGAAUUUUGAACAACUUUUUAGCUUGUGGUUUGUAUUUUGCUAAGAGUUUUCAGUAUAGUGCUCAAAUGGAUGUGACUCUAGUUGGAGUUAUAGCUUGAUACAUAUACAAUAUACCUGUUAGUCUUCUUGAUAAAAAAAGUAAAAUGACUUUAUGUAUUUAAACGCACGUGCCAAUCACGUUUCUGUUUUUACUUAAAAAGUGGUGGCAAAAUAACACUAAAAUGUGCAAAAUGUAGUCAAAACAUAAAAGUGUAUACCAUAUUGUAGACUUUAUUAUCGCAUAGAUAUAUUAGUUGUAGUUACAUACAUAUAAUAGUUGUAGUUAAAUUUUUGUACAAUGUUAUUGUUGCGGUAACUCAUCACGGUUGAUUUGACGUGCCUACCAGACGUUUGUUUACUUUUUAAUAUUUUUUCUUUGCGCUCAAAAAAUACAAACACAAUAUGAGUGUGUGCAGUUGUACAUAUAUUUUCAUAUACAAAUGUAGGUUAUUUUAUUUUAUGAGCAUAAUGUUUGUAAUUGAAGAGUUUAGGGCUGAGGGGUCUUUGGUUAUAAAGUAUCAAUUUUCAGCAAUUCAAUUGACAAAUGUGUACUUCUAUAUUUAUAUGUACAAAAAUAUGUUUAUAUGUGUGUGUGUUUUAGAUUAAUGCCCUUAAUGAUUGACAGUUUUCUCGUUUUAUGAUCUUUGAUGCUCAGCUGUAUGGAAUAGUGUUCCGAUGUGGGCGGCUCCGACUAAUGAGUAGCUUCUUGGGGAGAAAGGAAAAAAUACAAAAUUUCAGACUUGUAGAAACGCAGCAAAUAAAAUUUUAUUUUUGCAUGUUCUGUAUGUACAGGUCCAGGAGAUAUUAAAAUUACUUGUUAUAAUUGUAACUACAGUAUUCUUCCUUCUUACUACAAUCGCAGAUUGCUUACACAGCUGUUGUAAUGUUAUUUUUGUUUUUUACAAUAACAAUCAACAACAAAGGCGAGAAUCAAACAAACGUGUGUAUAUUUAAACUGUUAUGACCCAGAAAAUAAAGAAUAUCUCGAAAUAACUGAGAAACUAAAAAAAUGCACAAACAAGCAAUAAAAUAAUGCAAAAGGAAGGAAGUGGUAAACAUAGAAAACGUAGUGAGGAGCGCAUCGCCAAGAAGUCACUGCAGUCACCACCAAUGCAAUGCAACAAGGCGCAUCAUUAAAAACGCUCCUCUCGCUUCUCCCUCACUCUGGUCUCUACCGUUGUACCUCCUAUAUAUAGCAACACACAAGCGCAUACAAAAGGCUUUAAUACUGCGGCAUCGCUGCUGCAUUGCACAAAACUUGUAAAAUCGUAGAAUAAAACAUUUCAUUUGCUAUUUUUGUUUUCACAUUUAUUAUUGUUGUUGUUGGUGUUAUCGUUACACGACCGUUUUUGCCUCGUUUCAAACAGAACAAUUGUGUGCUGCAGCAUUGUAAUACUAUUACGAGCUCGAGCACCGGCUAUGCACGAAUGAUGCAAAAAUAUAACAAAAACAAAAGGCCCACAACAAAAAGUGAAAUCUUAUAAAAAAAAAUUAACAAAUAACAUUACCACAGCGGCAAGCGCCACAUUGCCCUCAUUUUAUUUUGCGGUCGAUAGACACAAAAAUUAAUAUGCACACAUAUCUACGACAACGACUUGCACUUGCACGAUAUUUUGUCUGAGGUUGAAGUGGACACGGUUAGCUCAAUAUCAUUCAAUAAUAGCUGUAAGUCACUGUUUUAAAUGUUUUUCUUUCCAAAUCGAUGCACAGGUGCAUUUCGUAUCCAAAGCAUUUAUCUUGACUUUGACCGGUCAGUUGUUUGGUAGCUACAUAUAUUCCAUGUAGGCCGAUUCAAAGCUCGGAGGUUUUGCCUUACCUUGUACAAUAGUCAUUGUCAAUUUCGUCAAGAUAUUUUGUCAAGUUAAAAAAUUUCCAAAUUUGAUUUUCGUUUGUCAAUUUAUAUUGCAGAUAUGUGCUAUAUUGCUAAACACGCAAGGCGAUUUCAAGGAGAGUAUAAACUCUAAGACGAAAAGAAAUCAGUCCUAAUAUGCGUGGAAGAAAGUGUAAGAAGACCACGCCAUUUAAAAAGUAAACACGUUAUGCCUGUUGUAGCGGAAACAACUAAUUGAGUUGCAGAAGAGGAAGUACGAGAAAAGUAGAGGAAGUACCAGCUGUGCAUUGGAGAAAAAAACAGGAAAAACAAACAAUAAGAAACGGGUGCUUGCCGCUGUUUAGUGAAAUGAACACAAAGUAUGCGUAUCUCUAAAUAUUUACAUACAUAUGUACAUUUUUACAUAUUAUACAUAAGCAUAUACAUAUAAUUGGAA
rnacentral:lncRNA from 1 species